rnacentral:rRNA from 5 species
CGACCCCAGGUCAGGCGGGAUUCACCCGCU